GGAGAAUAUAGGAAUAUGUAUUUAUUACGCAUGAUUACUAAUUGAGAAUGGAUAAUCAAGUACCCAGGUAUUUAUUAUCAUUUGAUUAUAUCGUUAGUAAUGCCGUCUAAUGUUUACUAUAGAGUUAUAAGAGGUGUACAAGAGACCUUCGAUUUUGCUUCAGUAUCAUAUUAAUGAUUCAUGCAUAAUGCCGUCCAUAUAGUUUUAUUACUCUAAGUGUGCACAUCAAUUUUCGGAAAUGCGAUUGUUGAGCAGUUUGACAAUAAUAAUGAUAACAGUAGCGACACAAUCCAUAGAUAUAUUAUUCACACAACCAAUGUCACGGUGUAGUAUAUCAAACAAUUUCGAUUGACUCACUAGUGUCGCGAUAUUGUAGCAUCGAAGGGAGUACGUAAAACAAUUAAAAAUAUUUCGGCUGAACCGCAUUUAAUCCGAAAAUAUUACAGCCGACUGUUAUAAAGAGAUAAGUUCAGAUCUUCCAAAAAACGAUAACGCACGAUAAGAAAUAAAUAUAAAGGAGAAAAAUUCCAUACUUAAUGUUUUCAAAUGAAAAAAAAACCAGAUGCCCCAAGUAACCCACUUUUAAGUUUUUUUAAUUUUUAAUCAGUGAAUAAUAUUGCUCAAUAAAAAUUCUACCCCCCCCCCCUCUAAUAAUUGGUUAUGAGUUAUAGGAUUAC